CCGAGUUUUGGGACCCUUUGGGUACCAGCUCCCACCAUUUGUGAACCUUUUUCGUUGCCUCGGCGGACCGACGGUCCCCGUCCCUCGGCGUAAGCUGGGGAGCGUCCGCCGAUGGAUUUUCAAACCCGUCUUAACCAUGAAAUCUGAGUCAAAACAAAUAAAAACA
rnacentral:misc_RNA from 1 species